rnacentral:rRNA from 1 species
GAAUGGACGGGGACCCGCACAAGUAGCGGAGCAUGUGGGUUAAUUCGAAGCAACGCGAAGAACCUUACCUAAGCUUGACAUCCCAAUGACAUCUCCUUAAUCGGAGAGUUCCCUUCGGGGACAUUGGUGACAGGUGGUGCAUGGUUGUCGUCAGCUCGUGUCGUGAGAUGUUGGGUUAAGUCCCGCAACGAGCGCAACCCUUGUCUUUAGUUGCCAUCAUUAAGUUGGGCACUCUAGAGAGACUGCCAGGGAUAA